GUAGAAAAUAAAGUUUAUUUGGGAGCGGGGGGGGGGGGGGGAGAAGGGAGUAGAGGAAGAUGAAAGAGGGAGAAAUGGGUCAAAAAAAGAGAAAAGGGUCAGAGAGAGCUAAAGGAAGCCAAAUAGUCCCUUUCACAGCAAGUCAAGUCUAUCUGGCUGUUGCUAGGUAACUGUUGGGCGGAGCAUAGAAGGAAUGCUAACAAUUCCAACUACCGUCUGUAGACUUUACUUCCUUGAGCUGAGAAAAUGUUUAUUUUGUAAUUUUAGUGUUUCCUUUUAAUUUUGAGAGUUUUGAAGGUAGGUUCUGCUGGUUCUCGGUGUUGUUGGCUGCCUGAUAGAGGACCAUUGUCCUCUAUCUGAGAACUGGGGACGGAACCCAGGGCCUUGUGCUUGCUAGGCAAGUGCUCUAUCACUGAGCUAAAUCCCCAACCCCUAAAUUAAAAAUUUUUAAAGCUGCUUUGAGAACAUGAUAUUCCUAAUUAUACAAUUCUGGUUAGAAUGUUAUCCUUCAUCUUUAUCCCAAUUCUUCUUCUACAAUACAUUUUCAUUACUUAGAUAA